rnacentral:lncRNA from 1 species
AGCCCAAAACUGUGUGCACAAGUAUCCUACAGUCUCAAUCUUCUGCAAAUGAACCUUACAUUGGUGCUGCGCAUUCCCUCAGACCACCAUCUAUUGCAUCUUAACCUAAAACAGAACUACCAUCAACCCCAACCAAAAAUGUCAUCUGGUGCAGGAGCUAUACACCGCCCAUCCACCUCACAGUGCCACCUCGAGAAGCUCAUACCACCUUUCCGAACCUGCACCACUUACCCAUUAACAGCUUCUGAGGUCCUCAUCAGGCGCUUGAUGCUCAAAAGGGUGCAUCGAAUUGUGGCAAGUCAAUUACUUCUCUCAGCAGCUGACUCACUCUACCUCGUCGAAUAGCUUGAAGGAUUCAAUGACCCGUCCCUCAGCAGCCUCGUGCUCAAACUGUUGAAC